UCAGAAAAGGAGGCAGCAGAGAGGUUUUGCGAUGUGUGCCGGUGAAGACCGAGGGGUCGAAAAAACCACAUGGUGGCAAAAAGAUGACACAGAAAGAUGCCAAAACACUGAUAAUCUUGAAGCUGGGUGGUGGUUCCUUCCCCACAAAGCUUAGCAUUCCUAGUUUCAUCUCAGAAUCUUCUCAGAUGCUGGCCCAAAUGGUUCUUUUAACUUCACGGGAUUCUUGUGAAGAAUCAAUGAGAUGACGGACGACAAACUUUCACAGCACCUGAGGCAUGGCACACUCUCCGAAUAUCAAAAUUUAUGCCGAUGAAGAGGUUAAAAGAAAAAAGAGAAGAGAACGGUUUUACUGUCUACAAAGCAGGAUGUGGCUAAGAACAGAACUUUAAUGUAAAGUGCACGUUAGAA